rnacentral:lncRNA from 10 species
GCGGCGGUCGGGGGACACCAGCUGCGUCGGAGCGCCCAGAACGCCCCGCGCUCCGCCGAGCCCCGCUCCACGCAGACCCGCGGGCGGGAGGGAGCCACGCACAUCGCCGCCGCGGCCGUCUCCGCGGGGCGGUAACCGAGCCUGCCUCGGAGCCGCCGAACGCCCACGCCAGCGACCCUGACUCUAUGGCCCCGGGGGAGCGCGCCGGAGCCGCCGCGCCGCCCACCCCCAGCCGGAACCCUAGCGUCCCGGGGAGCAAGCGGGGAGCCCCGGGCGUCCCCGGCCCCGGCCCAGGGCCCUGCUUGUGGCCCCCGCUCCCGCCACGGGGCAUGGGAGGCAGGUAGCCCAGCCUGCGCCAGGACACCCGUGGCGGGCGGAACCCGCCAAGGACCGCGAAGUCCAGAGAAAGGAAGCUGAGGAGCUGCCCGCCCGCCCCCGGCUGCAGCCCCAGCAGGGCCCUCCCCCGGUGGCGCGCACCCGCGCGCGCACACUCGCACACCGCACCUCAGCGCCUGCCCGGCCUCGCCCCCACCCGCGAGCGCCGAACCUCCUGGGGCCGGAUGCCAUGGGUAACAACUUCUCCAGUAUCCCCUCGCUGCCCCGAGGAAACCCGAGCCGCGCGCCGCGGGGCCACCCCCAGAACCUCAAAGGGGUCUCUUCAGUAUCAUCCCUUUGUGAUUCACCAUGGAAGAUGUUACUGGAAAGCGGUCACAAUUCAGACCCCAAGAGAGGGUUCUUGGAUCUUAUGC